CGCGUGGCGGACGGGUGCGUAACACAUGGAUAACCUUCCUUGAGGUGGGGAAUAACCCAGUGAAAAUUGGGCUAAUACCGCAUAACAUCGCGAUGGCACAUGCUGAUGCGAUCAAAGGCGCAAGUCGCCACAAGAGGGAUCCGCGGCCGAUUAGCUUGUUGGCGAGGUAAUGGCUCACCAAGGCAAUGAUCGGUAGCCGGACUGAGAGGUUGGCCGGCCACACUGGAACUGAGACACGGUCCAGACUCCUACGGGAGGCAGCAGUGGGGAAUCUUGCACAAUGGACGAAAGUCUGAUGCAGCAACGCCGCGUGGGGGAUGAAGCUUCUCGGAGUGUAAACCCCUUUCGACCCGGAAGAAUGCCCGCAAGGGUAUGACGGUACAGGUACGGGUAUAAAAAGCCCCGGCUAACUACGUGCCAGCAGCCGCGGUAAUACGGGGGCCAGCGUUGCUCGGAAUUACUGGGCGUAAAGGGUCCGUAGGCGGUGUAGCAAGUCGAUAGUGAACCUCUGUGCUUAACGCAGAGGCUGCUAACGA
rnacentral:rRNA from 1 species